rnacentral:misc_RNA from 1 species
UGGUUCUGGCAUCGAUGAAGAACGCAGCGAAAUGCGAUAAGUAAUGUGAAUUGCAGAAUUCAGUGAAUCAUCGAAUCUUUGAACGCACAUUGCGCCCCUUGGUAUUCCGAGGGGCAUGCCUGUUCGAGCGUCAUUUCAAACCUCAAGCUUCUGCUUGGUAUUGAGGGGCUCGCCUUCGGAAACGGAGGCGCCCUCGAAACUCGUGGGCGGUGAUGUCCAGCGUCGUAGCGUAGUCAUAAACCAUUCCGCUUCCGACCGCUUCUCACUCACCCGCCGGACGAACCGACGCCUCUGGUGUCAUUUUUUCUAAGGUUUGACCUCGGAUCAGGUAGGGAUACCCGCUGA